rnacentral:rRNA from 1 species
GUGCCAGCAGCCGCGGUAAUACGGAGGGUGCAAGCGUUGAUCGGAAUUACUGGGCGUAAAGCGAGAGCAGGUGGUUUAAUAAGUCAGAUGUGAAAUCUCUAGGCUUAACCUAGAAACCGCAUCUGAUACUAUUAAACUAGAGUGUAAGAGAGGGUGAUGGAAUUCCCAGUGUAGGGGUAAAAUCCGUAGAUAUUGGGAGGAACACCGGAGGCGAAGGCGAUCACCUGGCUUACAACUGACACUCAUCCUCGAGAGCAUGGGUAGCAAACAGGAUUAGAUACCCUGGUAGUCUAUGCUGUAAACGAUGGACACUAGAUGUUGUGGGAUUUGAUCCCUGCAGUAUCGUAGUUAACGCGUUAAGUGUCCCGCCUGGGGAAUACGGUCGCAAGAUUAAAACUCAAAGAAAUUGACGGGGGCCCGCACAAGCGGUGGAGCAUGUGGUUCAAUUCGAGGCAACGCGAAAAACCUUACCUGGGCUUGACAUCCUGCUUUAAAUCAUAGAGAUAUGGUCUAGUCUUCGGACAAGGCAGGACAGGUGCUGCAUGGCUGUCGUCAGCUCGUGUCGUGAGAUGUUGGGUUAAGUCCUGCAACGAGCGCAACCCUUAUCAUUAGUUGCCAUCAUUAAGUUGGGUACUCUAAUGAGACUGCCGGUGUUAAACCGGAGGAAGGCGGGGAUGACGUCAAGUCAUCACGGCCCUUAUGUCCAGGGCUACACACGUGCUACAAUGGUCGGUACAAAGAGCUGCAAACCCGCAAGGGGGAGCUAAUCUCAAAAAGCCGAUCUCAGUUCGGAUCGGAGUCUGCAAUUUGACUUCGUGAAGCUGGAAUCGCUAGU